rnacentral:rRNA from 1 species
UGGUGACAAUGGCAAGGAGGUCACACCUGUUCCCAUGCCGAACACAGAAGUUAAGCUCCUUAGCGCCGAUGGUAGUUGGACUGACGUUCC